rnacentral:misc_RNA from 1 species
CAUCGCUGGAAUCAGCGAGACCCUGGCCUACAACUACUUCGGCAGUCGCGAGCAACUGUUCGUCGAGUUGGCCCGUCGCGAGUUCAAGCGCAUCCGUGACGCGCGGCAGUUGGACGUCGAGCGGUCGAGCGACCACUACGAGCUGAUCGCGCGCACUACCCGAACGUACCUGCG